GGCACUAUAGUGUAGUGGUUUAUCACUUGGGAUUUUGAUUCCCAAAACCCAGGUUCGAACCCUGGUAGUGCCU
rnacentral:tRNA from 1 species